rnacentral:lncRNA from 1 species
GAUCUCCAAGAGACAAAGUAUCAAAAGAAAAGGAGAGAACUGUGGGGGAUACCUUUGGUUAAGAGAAGAGCAUUGAUCAUCAAAAAAAUAAGAAACAAAGAAGUAAUCAGUCAGGUGGAAGGACACCACAAUGUCAGAAAAAGCUGAAGGAGGAGAGAACUGUCUGGAAGAACACUGUGUUCCAGAACACUGGAAGAACUGUGUUUCAUAAGUAAACAAUGUCAAAAGCUGGAGAGAGAAACCAGAAGGAUGAGUGAGGACUGAGAAUAAAUUACUGUUUUAGCAAUUAACAUAUUCUUGAUAGUCUUGAAGAUGGGAGUUUCAGCCAAGUGAUAAGGGUUUAUGGAUAUGAGCCACAGGACCAGAGCCACAGGCCAAGAUAAAAAACAGGGAUAUAAAAAAUACUACUGCCACUAAUAUGCUUUUGUCCAAGAUUGACAGCACCAGAAGCAUCCCCACCCUAAUUUUUUUUGACAAGAGAAUGAAGAAUAAUGGAGACAAAUAAAAGAUAGAGGGCACAACUGAGAGCAGUAGGUAGAAUCUACAAAUAGAGAAAAUCGGUCUUAAUGAAAACAAAACCCUACUAACAAUGAGAGAUAUUGCAAAGUGGAAGAGACUGCUUUAAUUGAUUUCUCUUCAUUGAAGAUUCUCCAGCAAAGCCUGGGCAUCCAUUUGUCAGGCUCUUCAUAUUCCUGGAAACCCUUGAGAACAGGGCUGACCAUUGAGAGUGACCCAACAUCCUUCACCUUAUUCCUCCAUUGCCAAGAUGAUUUCAGGAAUGACUCCUUGAGGAAAAGACCCUGCUUCACCUGUCUGGGUUCACCCCAACACAGCC